rnacentral:RNase_P_RNA from 1 species
UGAGUGUGAAAGAUAAUCGCGGGUGUUUUUUAACAUCUGAGGAAAGUCCGGGCUCCACAGGGCAAAUAUGCCGGAUAACGUCCGGCGAGGGUGACCUUAGGGACAGUGCUAUAGAAAUUUAAACCGCCUGGCAACAGGUAAGGAUGGAAAGGUGCGGUAAGAGCGCACCAGCAUAUAGGUAACUAUAUGGCUUUGGUAAACCCCAUAUGGAGCAAGACCGAAUAGGGAAGGGAUGAGGCGGCCCGCUGAUCCUUCCGGGUUGUGUCGCUUGAAUUGAUGGGCAACUAUCAAUCUAGAUAAAUGAUUAUCACCGCCACGCGGAUACAGAACUCGGCUUAUUGAUCACUCAUAAC